GAUGAACGCUAGCUACAGGCUUAACACAUGCAAGUCGCAGGGUAACAUGAGGAAAGCUUGCUUUCCUUGAUGACGACUGGCGCACGGGUGAGUAACGCGUAUCCAACCUUCCCAUAACUACGGGAUAACCCGUUGAAAGACGGCCUAAUACCGUAUGAUAUCGUUUGCUGACAUCAAAUAACGAUUAAAGGUUUAGCGGUUAUGGAUGGGGAUGCGUCUGAUUAGCUUGUUGGCGGGGUAACGGCCCACCAAGGCGACGAUCAGUAGGGGUUCUGAGAGGAAGGUCCCCCACAUUGGAACUGGGACACGGUCCAAACUCCUACGGGAGGCAGCAGUGAGGAAUAUUGGUCAAUGGGCGAGAGCCUGAACCAGCCAAGUAGCGUGCAGGACGACGGCCCUAUGGGUUGUAAACUGCUUUUAUGUGGGGAUAAAGUGCGUGACGUGUCAUGCAUUGCAGGUACCACAUGAAUAAGGACCGGCUAAUUCCGUG
rnacentral:rRNA from 1 species